UGAUCUGGUCAUUUCGAAAUGUUGAUACUUGAGAGACUACAAGUUUGUCCAUGUUCAUAAUAUCUUUUUCUAAUUCUGCCCGGUAGAUUAAAGAACCAUAAGUGCUGAAUCAUCACUAUAAAAUGUUAUGCACAGGAAAAAGAACUCCAAGUGUUGAAACCUGAAUUGUGCUCAAUUUAGUUCUUUCAGACUUGCAUAUUUGAUAGUGCUUUGGGUAUGAUUGCAAUGCUGAAGAAGAAUCAUGUUGAGAUUUUUUCCAAUACUGCUGUAGAACUUGUUAGUAUUUUUGUAUUUGGUUCAAUAAGUUAAAUUCAUUAUAGAGUAGUAGGUCAAGAAACAAAGUGAGGCAAAUAAAUUGAAAUGUAAAAGAAUGUGUUGCAAGUAAGUUAUACUCUUAUCGUACUCAGUGUCUGUACUCCAGAAUAAUAAAGAAAAGUUGAUUUUGUUGCAGGUUGAUGGGAGUUUAAUCUUAUAUAACCAAAAGAGAAUAAUAGUGUGAGCCUAGUUUCACCAAAUACAAAAGGAAGGACCAAUAUGAGGAAAUCAAUGGAACAUGGGGAAAAGCCUGAGAGGAAAACUUGAAGAGUGGAAUGGAGGAUUUUUCCUGCUGCUUUGGGUGUUCCUUGAAGUUUUUUGUUGGAGAAUGGAGAUGAUUUGAACUUACUAAUAGUGCAGUAGUUGUGUCUUUUAGUACAAUACGCUUGCAUAAGUCUCACAAGUUGACAGACAAUUGGGAAAUUUGAUAAAUCUGCAAUAUGGAGCAUUGUAAUAUGGAGCAUUGUGACAUGAAACUUGUCAUCUGUGUUUUGAAAUUCUCUUUAUACAUCAAAACAUGCCUCA